rfam:Pteropus alecto contig99538, whole genome shotgun sequence.
CUUUCUCUUGCUUCAACAGGUUUGGACAGAACAG